rnacentral:rRNA from 1 species
GAUCAUGGCUCAGGAUGAACGCUAGCGACAGGCUAACACAUGCAAGUCGAGGGGCAGCACGGGAGUAGCAAUACUUUGGUGGCGACCGGCGCACGGGUGAGUAACGCGUAUGCAACCUACCUAUCAGAGGGGAAUAACCCGGCGAAAGUCGGACUAAUACCGCAUAAAACAGGGGCACCGCAUGGUGAUAUUUGUUAAAGAAAUUCGCUGAUAGAUGGGCAUGCGUUCCAUUAGGUAGUUGGUGAGGUAACGGCUCACCAAGCCGACGAUGGAUAGGGGAACUGAGAGGUUGGUCCCCCACACUGGUACUGAGACACGGACCAGACUCCUACGGGAGGCAGCAGUGAGGAAUAUUGGUCAAUGGGCGGGAGCCUGAACCAGCCAAGUCGCGUGAAGGAAGAAGGAUCUAUGGUUCGUAAACUUCUUUUGCAGGGGAAUAAAGUGCAGGACGUGUCCUGUUUUGUAUGUACCCUGAGAAUAAGGAUCGGCUAACUCCGUGCCAGCCGCCGC